rnacentral:rRNA from 1 species
CUUGACGACCAUAGAACAUUGGAACCACCUGAUCCCAUCCCGAACUCAGCAGUGAAACGAUGUAUCGCCGAUGGUAGUGUGGGGUUU